rnacentral:rRNA from 1 species
AGGAAAUAACAAUAAGAUAAACCUACUUAUUUUGGCGGCAUUUCAUCUAUUUAGAGGAACUUGUUUAUUAAUCGAUAAUCCGCGUUAAAUUUCACUUAAAUUAAAAAUUUAUAUACCGCCAUCUAAAGAGUUAAUUUCAAUAUAAUACUCAAAAUAAAAAAUAAAAAGUUAGGUCAAGGUGUAAUCUAUACUUAAGUAAAAAUGAGUUACUAUAAAUAACAUUUAAGGACUAUAUAAUUAUAAUCAUAUACAAAAAAGGAUUUAAUAAGUAAUUCAUAAAUAAUAUUUUAAAUUGAAAUAGAUCAUAAAUGCGC